CAGGUUGACCUGUACUACACCACAUGACUGAGUUACUGUACGGACAGGUAACACCUGUACUACACCACAUGACUGAGUUACUGACAGGUUACACCUGUACUACACCACAUGACUGAGUUACUGUACAGACAGGUUACACCUGUACUACACCACAUGACUGAGUUACUGUACAGACAGGUUACACCUGUACUACACCACAUGACUGAGUUACUGUACGGACAGGUUACACCUGUACUACACCACAUGACUGAGUUAAUGUACGGACAGGUUACACCUGUACUACACCACAUGACUGAGUUACUGUACGGACAGGUUACACCUGUACUACACCACAUGACUGAGUUACUGUACGGACAGGUUACACCUGUACUACACCACAUGACUGAGUUACUGUACGGACAGGUAACACCUGUAAUACACCACAUGACUGAGUUACUGUACAGACAGGUUACACCUGUACUACACCACAUGACUGAGUUACUGUACAGACAGGUUACACCUGUACUACACCACAUGACUGAGUUACUGUACGGACAGGUUACACCUAUACUACACCACAUGACUGAGUUACUGUACAGACAGGUUACACCUGUACUACACCACAUGACUGAGUUACUGUACGGACAGGUUACACCUGUACUACACCACAUGACUGAGUUACUGUACGGACAGGUUACACCUGUACUACACCACAUGACUGAGUUACUGUACGGACAGGUUACACCUGUACUACACCACAUGACUGAGUUACUGUACGGACAGGUUACACCUGUACUACACCACAUGACUGAGUUACUGUACGGAGAGGUUACACCUGUACUACACCACAUGACUGAGUUACUGUACGGACAGGUUACACCUGGACCUCUGGCCAGGUAAACACUAUAGCAAGUUAGUCCCAAAUGGCCCUCUAUUCCCUCGAAAGUGCGCUUCUGUUGACCAGAUUGCUACGGGUUAGUCCUACGGGCCCUGGUCUAAAGUAGUGUACUGUAUAGGAAAUGUAGUGCCAUUUUGGACACAUACCAUGUUCUGAGAACCACCUCGCUGACCGUUCACACUAGAUCCC
rnacentral:lncRNA from 1 species